rnacentral:rRNA from 1 species
GGAGUCUGGGCCGUAUCUCAGUCCCAAUGUGGCCGAUCACCCUCUCAGGCCGGCUACCGAUCGUCGCCUUGGUGGGCCGUUGCCCCGCCAACUAGCUAAUCGGACGCAAGCUCAUCCCAUACCGAUAAAUCUCUAGUCAACCAGCCAUGCAGCUAGUCACUCUCCUGGACAUUAACCGCGCGUUGGCACGGGUAUUUCCUGAUAUGGGGCAGAUUGCUUACGCGUUACUCACCCGUUCGCCGCUCGGCAUUGCUGCCUCGCUCGACUUGCAUGUAUUAAGCACGCCGCCAGCGUUCGUCCUCGAGCCACGGAUCAAACUCU